rnacentral:lncRNA from 1 species
UACAGGUGUACCAUGGGCUACUGAAAAAGGGUGCAAUUGUGCUAAUUGGAAGAUGCGCUGACUGGGUGGUGCCUACCUCUCUGAUUUAGAGGAAAUACGUGGUCUGCUCUGACCCACUGGAUGGAUCUCCCAACAUUGACUGCCUAGCCUCCAGUGGAACCAUCUUUGCCGUCUGCAGAAAGCCCCUCAGGAUGGGAUCUCUGAAUCAGUGGGUAGCUUCAUGAGAGAGGUCGGAGGAGUUGGGAGGAUGCUGAUGGAAGUGGGGAGGACUGCGGUCGCCCUGCACUUGUUUGUCUAAAAGUGAUGAGAAGACCUCACCCAAAUGCAAGAGCCAUGACUCUGAGCCAUCACUGCCCCAUGUUACAGGAGACAGGAUUUGACCAUCCUUCCACAGUUUCCUUUAAGGAAAUCCUCUAGGACUCAAUGAGGCCUCAGACCUAGUGGAAACUAUGAACUGUUUCAAACAACAUAUCUGGAU